GCCUGCCACGCGGGAGGCCCGGGU
rnacentral:piRNA from 6 species